UUAGCUGCUACCUUCACUUCCCUCAUCCCUUAUGCCUUCCAACAGAAGCAAGCUAUAUGUAUAUAUAGUAUAUAGUAACGUCAUCGGAGAAUUUGUGUGAAGUGCUACUCCGACUCCAAGGUUAAAUUUUGACGACCGUACAACUGAGGCUUCGCUUGCUGUGAACGUGUCUCGACAUAUUUUUUCCUUAACAGGUGAAUACCGUUUUAUUUAGUUAUUCAUGAUCUAUCGAAAAAAAAAAAAUUACUUGUGAAAACAGAUAGGUAUAUUGCACCACAUCUAUUGCAACUCUGUGAGGCAUGAUCGGGGCGGAUUUAGAGGAUGCUGAGGGGCAAAAAUUAUAGUGUAUAUAUAAGGUAGAUUUUCUGUGUUUAUGUACAUAUAUUAACUUUGGAAUAUAUUGAACAAAUGCAAAAGAUUAAUUGUCUCUAUCAUCCUAGGUUCGAUUCCCAGGAAAAACAUUAUUUUUUAUAUUUAACUUUUUUACUUUUUCUGAACCCUUGAAUCAAAAUUCUGGAUCCGCCUAAUCGUUAUAACGGCUACUGCUCCGGUAGGGCAAUAAUCGAAUUAUGAAACGUUGACGCAAACUCUUGGGGUUAGUUUGGUACUUUUUUGGUUCAUUUCACUAUAAGAAAUGGACUGUACUUUGAUUGGUUUGAACUUGAUUAAGCUAAAACUAAGAAAAUAAAGCUUAGAAGAAAUCUCUUAGAAAGCAAAUAGUUCAAAUGUUUAAGGAAGUCGAUAAAUAGAGCUACGAUUUUUUCUUUGCAAUUUCGUUAUAUUUUUAUUUUAUCCUAAGCAAUUGAUUUAUGUAAAACUAUAAACUAGAGGAUUUUCUAUAUUCCCAUGAUAAUAGAAUUAACAAAAUAGAUCAUUCAUUCCUAAGUAGGGCCAGGCAUAAUUUUGGAAAAAUUGAAAUCCAAACCGAAAUUCGAAUUUUUCAAAAUUUUUGAUUGGAUUUUGGAUUUAACUUCCAAAAAUUGAGAUGUCUCAUUAUCAUCGUACUUUUUAUUGUCAUUGAAGGAGUUGUGACAAUAGAUCCUUACGGAAGCAUAUUAAUUGAUGUUUAAAUCGUAUGCAAUAUAUAUGAAUUGAGUAGUGGUUGGCUUGAAUAUGCACUGUUAGCAGUAUGAAAACUGAUCCAGUUAGAACAUUUUUGAAUUGGAUUUGAAUUUUAAUUUUUUAAAUCCAAAAAUUAAAAAUUAAAAUCGAAAUUUUCAUAUCCAAUCUAAGCUGUCCAAACGUCCGCCCCUAUUCUUAAGUUAAUGAAUUUCUUAAUUCCUAAGUCUAUCAAAUUACAUCCUUCAAUCCAACUCAAUUCCAAAUUCUCUUUUAAAAAAUCGAUUUAAAAUCAAAGAAGGUGCCCAAUUGACUAUAAAAACAAAAAUUGAGAAAUAAGAUAUAUAUCUUAAAAGCAAAAUCAAUUCCUCGAAUAAAACUAUAAACCACAAUGAGAACUACAUAGACAUAAUCCAAGAACUAUAAAUAAAGAAAAGGAGAAAAAAGAUGAAACUUUGAAGGAAUAUAUUUUUUCUUGAGUUAAUGGUAAAAAACAAACCUGAAUUAUCACUUUUUCGUGAGUUUUCUACCUAAACUAUCAGGCGUGCGAGUUUCCUACCUGAACUAUCACCAACUGUUUUUCAAAACAUACCUCAACUAUUUGUUGUUCACUUUUCUUACCUAUAUCGUUCAGUUAGGAAAAAUAAACAACUAAUAGUUGAGGUUUGUUUUGACAAACAAUUGAUGAUAGUUCAGGUAGGAAACUCACGAAAAAGUGAUAGUUUAGGUGUGUUUUUGACCGUCCUCUCUUUUUUACCCAUGGUAGUGCUCUCAAAGAGUCUCCCAAUUUUGCCAAGAUCAGAGCUGAUGUACAAUUAAAGCUACUAACUUGGUCGAUCCCAAUAGCUUUUGCUCGAACCUUAUGUAUGUGUUAAGAAAAUCUACAAAUUAUAUAUAAAUAUUAAAUUUUGAACUUACCAACUUAAACGAUUAGUGUGUUCAGCGGCAUCACAAACCUAUUAAAUUUUACCUAUGCGGUUGCAUUUUAGCAAAAUUGUAGGAACUAGACAUGAGCAACCCAUCCAACGUCAGUUUUUUCUUUUCUAAAGGUUGCGUUGAAAAGAAACAUUGCUAGUUUGUCUAGUCACGUUUCUAUGAAGCUAGAAGUGCUUAUGGAAAAAAAAAUAUCACUUAUUAAUUUGGCAAAGGAGCGUGAUAGGCCACAAGUAAGUGACAUUUUUUUUUUCCCACUAAACACUUCUAGUUUCCAGGAACGUGAUUGGCCCCAAGUUUAUCUCAUCUGAUUGACCUUAUGUCCUAAAUUUUGGUGGAUCCGAAUUGCAACCUAACCUCGAAAACUGCGACUCAAAGUGGGAGAACCAAAUGGAAAUAUGUGUUGGUAGAAGAAGUUGAGGGCCGAUAGGCCCGAGACUAGACUUUUGACAAAGUAAAGCUACAUUGUUUAGAAGUAACAAAAUCUUUUUGUGAUUUUAUUUUUAUGUUCAAUAAAAUUGACAAUAUUAAUUACUAAAAUCCAUCAUAAUAAAUAAUUAACAU